rnacentral:tRNA from 1 species
CUCAUUGUAGUUUAUUUAAAACGUCGACCUGCAAAAUCGAAGAAGGACCCCAUCUCCCAGUGUGU